GACGAACGCUGGCGGCGUGCUUAACACAUGCAAGUCGAGCGGUAAGGCCCUUCGGGUACGACGAGCGGCGAACGGGUGAGUAACACGUGGGUGACCUGCCUCUAGCUCUGGGAUAAGCCUGGGAAACUGGGUCUAAUACCGGAUAUGACUCCACGGCGCAUGUUGUGGGGUGGAAANCCUUGUGUGGCUAGAGAUGGGCCCGCGGCCUAUCAGCUUGUUGGUGGGGUGAUGGCCACCAAGGCGACGACGGUAGCCGGCCUGAGAGGGCGACCGGCCACACUGGGACUGAGACACGGCCCAGACUCCUACGGGAGGCAGCAGUGGGGAAUCUUGCGCAAUGGGCGAAA
rnacentral:rRNA from 1 species